ACGAACGCUGGCGGCGUGCUUAACACAUGCAAGUCGAACGCUCCUAGAGGUUGGAGAUUAGAGGUUAGAAGCUGGAUUUAAAGCCCGUGUUUCGGGCGGGGCUACAAGGAAAGCCCGAGGUCUAAUUUCCGACUUCCAAUCUCCAACCUCCAGAAGAGAGUGGCGCACGGGUGAGUAACACGUGGGCAAUCUGCCCGGAAGACUGGGAUAACAGCGCGAAAGUGCUGCUAAUACCGGAUACCUUCACGAAGUCGCAUGACUUUGUGCAGAAAGUUUUUCGCUUCCGGAUGAGCCCGCGUCCCAUUAGCUAGUUGGUGAGGU
rnacentral:rRNA from 1 species